CCGCCGAAUCGCAAAGAUGAUGCUCCGAGUUCGCAGCAGAGACGGGCUCGAACGAGUCACGGUGGAGAACCCACAGAACACCACCGUCUCCGAACUCAAAUCCUUGAUACAAACUCCAGCUUGUCUUCUUCCCCAUUUAUCCUCGAUCUCCCUUUCUCUCUCUCUCUCUUCCCCUUCUCCAGAUCAUCAAGAGCAACCAAUGAAAACAAGCAAGAUACUUAUUCUGGGAUACUCCUUGCAAAUACAAAGAAAGACAGCUCACCGCAGAGGAGAGGCACUGAUCUGGUCAUAAAGCACAUCUCCAAUUCUAAAGUUUCCAAUAGAAGCAGCUCCAUGGAGGCAGCCACACAGAAGCAAGGGUUCUCAACGAUCAGAUUUCAAGCAACAAGAAGAACCUAUAAAAGCUCCAAAUUCAUCAUCUUCAGUAUAUGGUGAAAUGAAAAAAAGGAUGGCAGAUCUUGAGUUCAAAAAAUCAGGAAAUGAUCUCAGAGCUCUUAAGCAAAUACUUGAAGCGAUGCAGAAGACGAAAGGAAUGAUAGAUACAAGAAAGGAUCACCCCUCAAAUUUUGCAUCUCAAACAAAGCAAUGAAAGCAUUUCUUUAGACAGCACGGUAUCAGCAAGCCAGAGAUACCUACAAAGUAACAUAUCAGUUCCUGCCAUGGCCAAGGGUUCCCAAUCUCCAAAGAGUUAUAAAUCACCCACCUUUUCGACUGAAAAUCUGACAGAGGAAGAGGAAGCCAUGGCCACCCAACAACCCAUCUCGAAGAAGAUGGCUUGCGUCGUCGGCAGAACCGGGUU
rnacentral:lncRNA from 1 species